rnacentral:ncRNA from 2 species
AAUAACCUUCGGGGCAGGGUGAUAACGGGGUUACCGUUUAUUCCCGACCGGUGGUAAAGCCCACGAGCCAUUCGAUAUGGCAUGAUCCGGUGUAACUCCGGAGCCGACGGUACAGUCCGGAUGAAAGAAGGUCUAU